CGUUGAAACAUUGUUUCCCGUGCGAUCACUGAAGGUAAGGAAUGCAGAGCCUGGUCAGUACCUAGAUGGGUGACCGCUUGGAAAUACCAGGUGAUGUAAG